CACCGGUUCGGUUCAAACCGGUGCGAAACCUAUUGUAAAAAAAAAAACCCCGAAUAUACUCUUUCUUUCUCUUGCUUUCAUUUCGUCGAUCUUUCCUCCUCUCUCAUUUGAUUUAACUCUCUCUCUCCUCCAUUGAAGCGUACUCGAAUUUCUCCAUUGAAGGGGCUUCUGAGCUUUCGCACUUUCCUCAAACUCCUUCUCUCUCCUUCGAUCUCUAUAACCGCCACUUUCCCUUUCCUUUCAUCUCUAUUUCGAACUCCUUCUCCUUCUCUCUUUGAGGUUAGGGUUUCUGGGUGCGUCUAUUUUGAAUCAAUUCGAUGUGCGUGCGUCUUCAACAACAACAACUUCGAAUCAAUUUCGAACCAAAAAUCAGAAAUUUGAAGUUAGGGUUUCUGGGUUAUUUAGCUUUGCGUUAUAUUGUAGUAGUUCUGAGCUUUCUCCUCCAUUGAAACAACUUCUGAGGGUUUGAUACGAAUUGUUGGAUUCUCUCUUCUGCUCGAUUAUCUGUUGAGUAAUCACCCAAAUCGAAAGUUUCAGUUUUCUAAGGAUGGUGUGAAGUAUAUUGAAGAGAUAAAAAUGAGAGUGAACCUUGUUAUCCCAACUCCACCAUCUCCAGAGUUGUUACCCCUCAACGGAACAGUGAAACAGUAAACCAGGAGGAUUUGAAGCUAGUUACAAUCCGUAAGGAUGUUCCUCGAUCUCAAGAUGUAAAAUCAGAACCAAUUAAGCAGAUGACUCUAGUUUGAAGAAAGAUGUUGAGACUCCUGGGCGAGAGUUUCUGCUCCGUGAUUCUUUUAUUAAUCUUUUAUUAAGUUUUCUUGUUCAAGUAUUUAUUUCAGGGUUUACUUAUGAGUAGAAUUGUAUUUAACUGAAUCCCGUGAUUUCAGAUUAUCAAUGAUUUGCUUAAUCCAACUGGUAGAAUCUACGUGUAAGAGAAGAUGCCCAAGUUUGUGUUGGUUUCAGUUAUUGGCUAGAAUAUAAUCUUUCCAUAUUAUGUCUGUUUUUGGCUCUUAGUGUUAUGUCUUUGCUGCUGCUCCAUUAUUUUACUACAUUUAUUGGAAUCAUUAGCUGGUUCGUCGUCCAUUUGAGACGAUCUCAGUAAUCUAAAGUGGCUAAUAAAAAUCUCUCUAAGUAAGACCAAGAUUCUCACUGCUGGUACAUUUCUGAUCUAUAAUUUGGUGUAUGAAAACCAUGAGGUAUCUUUUCUAACCUUCUUGAAGAUAUGAAGUGAGGCUGCUUCAAGUAUGUAAUGUAAAUUUAAAUGUUUGUUAUAUGUAAUUGAACGGAAGGGCCUUGAUAUGGUGCAUUGUGAUUGGAGCUUGUUAUCAAAGGAAGUUGGGGACUACUGUUUGAGUCCGAUACUUUCUAAAGGAUCCCGUGAGGAUGUUGUGGAGUCGAUACAUUAGUUAUCUUAUGAAGUGCGCUCACCUGGAGCUUGAUCCAUCAAAAGAAUUUGUGUGGAUCACUAAAGCAAAGCUUGGAGUUGUUGCGCGAGAAUUUUGUUCAAGUGUCUUCAGAGAUCAACAAGGAAAGAUGGGGAGCUUGAAUGAAGAUUGAAGUGAUAAGCAACAUUUUCCUCUCUUAACGAUCAGUGAAAGAGCAACAUCAAGUAACACAAUCUGCACUUGACAAAGCAAACUUAACUGCUAAAGAUCUUUCUGCAGUAACAGUUACUAUUGGUCCUAGAUUAAGUUUUUGCUUGUGUGCUGGAAACUAUGGAAUUCCUGGCAGAUUGCAUAGAUAUGUAUUUGAAAAAGCAAGUGGUGUGGUUCCUCGUGUCAGGUAUUUUUGUCCAAUUAAGAAGCCUUCUAAUUUAGGAAUUCCCAACUCUGUAAAAAAGUUGGGCUCGCUCCAAGUUAUUUAACUACUUCAUGUACCUCCAUUCAAGUAUACUCUCAAUUCUUCAUCAAAGCGUCUUCUGAGCUUCAUCUCCCCCAUCAGACAAGUUUUUGAAAUUCUGAGGAUCUCGAAUUCUUGCAAUUCCACCCAACUAGUAUCUACGGUCUUGGAUGCCUAAUCAAUGAAGGUUCUUUGCACCAGAUGCAUAGAUGGAUACAGUCAAGUCUUAUUUGGGAAUUGCUACUGCCUCUUAUCUUUGAUUGUGUAGUUUUUUUUUUUUUUUUUUUUUUU